CGCGGUCCUCGGUAGUGGCUUCCGGGAAGAAACUUACACCAGUUUCCCGCCCGUGGGCCUCGAUCGAAGACCGGG
rfam:Arthrobacter sp. PAMC25486, complete genome.